rnacentral:rRNA from 1 species
CCUACGGGGGGCAGCAGUGAGGAAUAUUGGUCAAUGGACGAGAGUCUGAACCAGCCAAGUAGCGUGAAGGAUGACUGCCCUAUGGGUUGUAAACUUCUUUUAUAUGGGAAUAAAACGUUCCACGUGUGGGAUUUUGUAUGUACCAUAUGAAUAAGGAUCGGCUAACUCCGUGCCAGCAGCCGCGGUAAUACGGAGGAUCCGAGCGUUAUCCGGAUUUAUUGGGUUUAAAGGGAGCGUAGGUGGAUUGUUAAGUCAGUUGUGAAAGUUUGCGGCUCAACCGUAAAAUUGCAGUUGAAACUGGCAGUCUUGAGUACAGGAGAGGUGGGCGGAAUUCGUGGUGUAGCGGUGAAAUGCUUAGAUAGCACGAAGAACUCCGAUUGCGAAGGCAGUUCACUGGACUGCAACUGACACUGAGGCUCGAAAGUGUGGGUAUCAAACAGGAUUAGAUACCCCAGUAGUC